CUACGAGAUAACUAAAGAGGAGCAAAAGGUCAGAGAAACAGCGCCCUCUGCGUUAGAUCUUAUAUAUCGUCAGUUUGGUGCAGUCAAAAAGAUGAAGGCCGGACGUCAAUAUAGUGAAGACGAUUAUAAGAAACUCAAAGACAUGCUUAGAGCUCAACAGAAGCGAUACAUCAGAUAUCAGAUAAACCUUUAAAUAGAGUUUUAUAGACCAUGGCAUGUUUGGGAAGCAAACUGAAAAAGCAAAUAAUUGGUUAGUCAUACAUAUACAUUCUGAAUCUACAUGACAAUGGCCCUUUGAAUGUCGUUUUAAAGGGAUGCUCCGGGCCGAAAGUAUUUAUAUCUAAAUAAAUGGAAUAAAAUU